rnacentral:miRNA from 1 species
AAUCUCAUUGACCGGAAGGGAUUCCUUCCCGUCGAUGAGGUUGUUAUGCCUCAUCGGCCGGAAGGGAUUCCUUCCCGUUGAUGAGGUAUAAAAACCUCAUUGACCGGAAGGGAUUCCUUCCAGUCAAUGAGGUA